rnacentral:rRNA from 1 species
AAUCUUGGACAAUGGGGGAAACCCUGAUCCAGCCAUCCCGCGUGCGCGAUGAAGGCCUUCGGCUUGUAAAGCACUUUUGGCAGGGAGGAAGAGGCUCGCGCUAAUACCUGGCGCUGCUGACGGUACCUGCAGAAUAAGCACCGGCUAACUACGUGCCAGUAUCCGCGGUAAUACGUAGGGUGCAAGCGUUAAUCGGAAUCACUGGGCGUAAAGCGUGCGCAGGCGGUUCGUCAAGAAGGAUGUGAAAUCCCAGGGCUUAACCUGGGAACUGCAUUCAUAACUGCCAAGCUAGAGUAUGUCAGAGGGGGGUAGAAUUUCGCGUGUAGCAGUGAAAUGCGUAGAGAUACGGAGGAAUACCGAUGGCGAAGGCGGCCACCUGGGAUAAUACUGACACUCAGGCACGAAAGCGUGGGGAGCAAAC